UUUUUAGUUCGCUUUGAAGAUUUGCUCAUAUACCGUGUUAACAGUUUGUUCUUCUGACAGGCAAAGGCCUCUCGUCUCUGGCAUGAAGUGAUGACCCUGGCGACGGAAUAAAUAUUACUAAAUCAGCCACUUUGCAGAGGUAAAGUGGUUGGCACUCAUGUGUAUCCAUUAUUGAUGAGUCUAAACACUCGAGACAGAGCUUCCUUCCAUCCUCAAGAACUAGAUAUCUGGCAUCUACAGGCUGCAUUACCACAAGCCCGUUAAAUAGCUACAGCAGCGGGGUGUUCCAUCAUGUUCAUGUGAAGGGCAGUACUUCUGAUGCCAGAAAGGAUGAGCUCUGUACUCUAUAAGCCCAGCAGCAUUCGUGGGAAUCUACAUAGAUGGAAAAUGAGAAUUAACCAAAGCUCUGAAGUAAUAAGUAGUAUCAUUCUUGCGGCCAGUCAAGAAAUACCAUAUAACGAAUAUAACUCAGGUCUAAACCAUUCAAACAAUAGGAAACUAGUGAGCUAAUGUAAUUGUUGAGACCUAUGUUUCUUGUCCGAUAUCAACUUGGUAAUGAUCUUAUCCCUUCUAUAUCA